GACGAACGCUGGCGGCGUGCUUAACACAUGCAAGUCGAACGGGGCGAAGUGAUAGCUUGCUAUUAUGGAGCCUAGUGGCAAACGGGUGAGUAACGCGUAGGCAACCUGCCCUUCAGAUGGGGACAACACCUCGAAAGGGGUGCUAAUACCGAAUGACGUUUCCUGGUCGCAUGACCUGGAAACCAAAGGCCGGGCAACCGGUCACUGAAGGAUGGGCCUGCGUCUGAUUAGCUAGUUGGUGGGGUAACGGCCCACCAAGGCAACGAUCGGUAGCCGGACUGAGAGGUUGAACGGCCACAUUGGGACUGGAGACACGGCCCAG
rnacentral:rRNA from 1 species